rnacentral:tRNA from 1 species
GGCGGAUUGGUGGAACAGGCAGACACACGAGACUUAAAAUCUCCGGCUAUAUAGCGUAUCGGUUCAAGUCCGAUAUCCGUCA